GAGGUCCAGAUUGUGCAAUGUGUUUGGUUCUAAAGCCUGUAGAGAGAAAAUGCGGAGGGACAGACUGAAUGACAAAGAACAUUUGUGGGGGUGGACUUCUUUAGCGUAUAUCAAAAGGUUUGUCUUCAAACAAAGGAUCAGCGUGUAUCUAAUAUUGUAGAGUUCUCUGAUGCAGUAGGUGAGCUGAAAGUAGAGAAAAAGAGGGUUUCUCUACUAAUGGCGGCUGCAACCUUUCAAGUGGCUACAGCUGGUUCUCUCAUUGAUCUGGCCACUACCCAAGGAACAGUGUAGAGAGCUAGAGAAUUAGUUCAGUGGGGGAUUUUCAGAUUGUGAGCACAUGCAGAUGACGUUAGCCAAGGAAUUUCAGCACAUGGAGUCUUAAGUAUGCAAAGGUUUAGAGAAUUGAUUACUGUAACUUUGGUGAUUGUUAUCUCCCUGUCUAUGAAUGUUGGAUUGUGUUAGUUAUGACGUCAAUAUGUUCAACUUCACAACUUAUUGUUCUCUCCCCCUGAUUUGGUUCUCUGCAAAUUUUUAGAUCAGAGUUUUUUGUACUUCAUAUUUUUUAUUGCUUCUGGACUUUAGGUGAUAUUGUUUU
rnacentral:lncRNA from 1 species